rnacentral:rRNA from 1 species
UCGAACGAUGAAACCGCCCUCGGGCGGACAUGAAGUGGCGAACGGGUGAGUAACACGUGACCAACCUGCCCCUUGCUCCGGGACAACCUUGGGAAACCGAGGCUAAUACCGGAUACUCCUCGCCCCCCUCCCUGGGGGGCCCGGGAAAGCCCAGACGGCAAGGGAUGGGGUCGCGGCCCAUUAGGUAGUAGGCGGGGUAACGGCCCACCUAGCCCGCGAUGGGUAGCCGGGUUGAGAGACCGACCGGCCACAUUGGGACUGAGAUACGGCCCAGACUCCUACGGGAGGCAGCAUG